rnacentral:rRNA from 1 species
CCUACGGGUGGCAGCAGUCGAGAAUCAUUCACAAUGGGGGAAACCCUGAUGGUGCGACGCCGCGUGGGGGAAUGAAGGUCUUUGGAUUGUAAACCCCUGUCAUGUGGGAGCAAAUUAAAAAGAUAGUACCACAAGAGGAAGAGACGGCUAACUCUGUGCCAGCAGCCGCGGUAAUACAGAGGUCUCAAGCGUUGUUCGGAAUCACUGGGCGUAAAGCGUGCGUAGGCUGUUUCGUAAGUCGUGUGUGAAAGGCGCGGGCUCAACCCGCGGACGGCACAUGAUACUGCGAGACUAGAGUAAGGGAGGGGGAACCGGAAUUCUCGGUGUAGCAGUGAAAUGCGUAGAUAUCGAGAGGAACACUCGUGGCGAAGGCGGGUUCCUGGACAUUAACUGACGCUGAGGCACGAAGGCCAGGGGAGCGAAAGGGAUUAGAUACCCGUGUAGUC